ACGAACGCUGGCGGCGUGCCUAAUACAUGCAAGUAGAACGCACAGUUUAUACCGUAGCUUGCUACACCAUAGACUGUGAGUUGCGAACGGGUGAGUAACGCGUAGGUAACCUGCCUGGUAGCGGGGGAUAACUAUUGGAAACGAUAGCUAAUACCGCAUAAUAUUAAUUAUUGCAUGAUAAUUAAUUGAAAGGUGCAAUUGCACCACUACCAGAUGGACCUGCGUUGUAUUAGCUAGUAGGUGAGGUAACGGCUCACCUAGGCGACGAUACAUAGCCGACCUGAGAGGGUGAUCGGCCACACUGGGACUGAGACACGGCCCAGACUCCUACGGGAGGCAGCAGUAGGGAAUCUUCGGCAAUGGACGAAAGUCUGACCGAGCAACGCCGCGUGAGUGAAGAAGGUUUUCGGAUCGUAAAGCUCUGUUGUAAGAGAAGAACGGGUGUGAGAGUGGAAAGUUCACACUGUGACGGUAUCCUACCAGAAAGGGACGGCUAACUACGUG
rnacentral:rRNA from 1 species